UACGAGGGGUGCAAGCGUUGCUCGGAAUUAUUGGGCGUAAAGGGCAGGUAGGUGGUCUCAUUUGUCAGAGGUGAAAGCCUUGGGCUUAACCCAAGAAGUGCCUCUGAAACGGUGAGACUGGAGUCUUGGAGAGGGUCGUGGAAUUCCCGGUGUAGCGGUGAAAUGCGUAGAGAUCGGGAGGAACACCAGAGGCGAAGGCGACUACCUGGGCUGUUCUUGACGCUGAGGCGCGAAAGCUAGGGGAGCAAACGGG
rnacentral:rRNA from 1 species